rnacentral:rRNA from 1 species
GACCUGGUACGGUGGUCCGCCUUCACGGUGUGUACUGCUGGACCGGGUUCUACCUCUUGGUGAGCCGGCAUGCCCUUCACUGGGUGUGUCGGGGAACCAGGACUUUUACUUUGAAAAAAUUAGAGUGCUCAAAGCAGGCAUCUUGCUUGAAUAUAUUAGCAUGGAAUAAUGGAAUAGGAC